rnacentral:tRNA from 1 species
GCCCGGGUGGUGAAACUGGUAGACACAGCGGACUUAAAAUCCGCCGGCCCGUGAUACGGCCAUACGGGUUCGACCCCCGUCCUGGGCACCA